UACUAAUUUCGCAGGGAAAGUACUAUAACCAGGGAACUACGCUUUUGUUGAGGAGGCUCUUAGAUAAAAUCGCAGAAUCCUGAAAGUGGUGUUUUCAUUCCGAAAUACACAUAGGUCUGACAAACCAAUAUUACGAACGUUUGACGAUUGUUGCUGAUAACUUAAAAGAACAUAUGAUUUUUGGUGCCAUACCUGUUCACGUGUUAGGAACGACAUCGCCCGUAAAAAUUUGAAAAGGCUGCGCAAACUAUCUCUUACAAGAGCAGAAUCCAGCUGCCUGGUUCGACAUCUUAUAGCGGUCUGUUCUACAGUUUAACAGCUGUGCAGCUGUGGCGUCUCCCAUCUGUUUCCUAGGGUUAUGAUUAGAGCUUCGCCACCAGUGACGAUAUCAUUAUAUGGUGGAAGGUGUACCAGCGUCGAUUUUGGAUGUUGUACGCCAAUAAUAAUUGCGAUUUGAACAGUUUCUGAUGUUAAUGAUGAAAGAGACUUAAAAAGUGGGAGACGAGCGAACUCUAAAAUGAAUGAAGCAUGCAUGAGUCACAAAACUGAUCGCCACCAGCUUACAGAUUUUCCAGAAACAGUUUUAUAUACUCAACUAAGUGUGGUAUGGAAUAAAACACUGGAUUUGGAAGUAGUACUACGAGAACAUGAACGGGGCUAUCCAAGAAGAAAUUGACCCAUUUCUUAUUUUUGUCAAUUAGCAAAUUUAAGGUAUAUUUGUAUUUUUAAGAUGCAACGUGAGCACUUAAUUUACGAAAAUUUUUAAGUAUGGCAGAAUAACCUGGCACAGA